rnacentral:tRNA from 1 species
UGUCAGGUGGCGCAACGGGUAGCGCGGCGGACCGUUACUCCGCGACUGUGUGGGUUCGACUCCCACCCUGACAG